ensembl:lncRNA
UGCCAGUUAUACAUGUUAGUAGCUGAUUAAUAGAUGAUGAUUUGUUUCACACUUUACAAUAAGGUUCCCUUUGCCAGUUAUAAAUGAUAGUAGCUGAUUAAUAGAUGAUGAUUUGUUUCACACUUUACAAUAAAGCUCCCUUUUGCCAGUUAUACAUGUUAGUAGCUGAUUAAUAGAUGAUGAUGUGUUUCACACUUUACAAUAAGGCUCCCUUUGCCAGUUAUACAUGUUAGUAGCUGAUUGAUAGAUGAUGAUUUGUUUCACACUUUACAAUAAGGCUCCCUUUUGCCAGUUAUACCUGUUAGUAACUCAUAAGAUUAAUGAAUAGUAAGCAGUAACUUGAUCUUGGAUGGAUGGAUGGAUACUUUAUUAAUCCCGAGGGAAAUUUUAGGCCAUCCAGUAGCAUCCAGACACAACAUACACAAAUCACAUACACUUAGGGAGAACACGUUCA